rnacentral:rRNA from 1 species
CGAACGGGUGAGUAACACGUGGGCAACCUGCCCAAAAGAGGGGGAUAACACUUGGAAACAGGUGCUAAUACCGCAUAACCAUAGUUACCGCAUGGUAGCUAUGUAAAAGGUGGCUAUGCUACCGCUUUUGGAUGGGCCCGCGGCGCAUUAGCUAGUUGGUGGGGUAAAGGCUUACCAAGGCAAUGAUGCGUAGCCGAACUGAGAGGUUGAUCGGCCACAUUGGGACUGAGACACGGCCCAAACUCCUACGGGAGGCAGCAGUAGGGAAUCUUCCACAAUGGGCGAAAGCCUGAUGGAGCAACGCCGCGUGGGUGAAGAAGGUCUUCGGAUCGUAAAACCCUGUUGUUAGAGAAGAAAGUGCGUGAGAGUAACUGUUCACGUUUCGACGGUAUCUAACCAGAAAGCCACGGCUAACUACGUGCCAGCAGCCGCGGUAAUACGUAGGUGGCAAGCGUUAUCCGGAUUUAUUGGGCGUAAAGGGAACGCAGGCGGUCUUUUAAGUCUGAUGUGAAAGCCUUCGGCUUAACCGGAGUAGUGCAUUGGAAACUGGGAGACUUGAGUGCAGAAGAGGAGAGUGGAACUCCAUGUGUAGCGGUGAAAUGCGUAGAUAUAUGGAAGAACACCAGUGGCGAAAGCGGCUCUCUGGUCUGUAACUGACGCUGAGGUUCGAAAGCGUGGGUAGCAA